ACGCUGGCGGUAGGCUUAACACAUGCAAGUCGUGCGAGAAAGUAUCUUCGGAUAUGAGUAGAGCGGCGGACGGGUGAGUAACGCGUAGGAAUCUACCUAGUAGAAGGGGAUAGCCCGGGGAAACCCGGAUUAAUACCGUAUACCUCCUUCGGGAGAAAGAAGGCCUCUCUUUGAAGCUUUCGCUACUAGAUGAGCCUGCGUAAGAUUAGCUUGUUGGUGAGGUAAAGGCUCACCAAGGCGACGAUCUUUAGCUGGUCUGAGAGGACGAUCAGCCACAUUGGGACUGAGACACGGCCCAGACUCCUACGGGAGGCAGCAGUGGGGAAUAUUGGACAAUGGGCGCAAGCCUGAUCCAGCCAUACCGCGUGUGUGAAGAAGGCCUUCGGGUUGUAAAGCACUUUAAGCAGGGAGAAAAAGUUAUAAGUUAAUACCUUAUAACCCUGAUGUUACCUGCAGAAUAAGCACCGGCUAAUUCCGUGCCAGCAGCCGCGGUAAUACGGAAGGUGCAAGCGUUAAUCGGAAUUACUGGGCGUAAAGCGCGCGUAGGUGGUUUGUUAAGUUGGAUGUGAAAGCCCUGGGCUUAACCUAGGAACUGCAUCCAAAACUAACUCACUAGAGUACGAUAGAGGGAGGUAGAAUUCAUAGUGUAGCGGUGGAAUGCGUAGAUAUUAUGAAGAAUACCAGUGGCGAAGGCGGCCUCCUGGAUCUGUACUGACACUGAGGUGCGAAAGCGUGGGUAGCGAACAGGAUUAGAUACCCUGGUAGUCCACGCCGUAAACGAUGACAACUAGCCGUUGGGAGACAAUGUCUUUCAGUGGCGCAGCUAACGCUUUAAGUUGUCCGCCUGGGGAGUACG
rnacentral:rRNA from 1 species